UACGUAGGGCGCAAGCGUUAUCCGGAAUUAUUGGGCGUAAAGAGCUCGUAGGCGGUUUGUCGCGUCUGCCGUGAAAGUCCGGGGCUCAACUCCGGAUCUGCGGUGGGUACGGGCAGACUAGAGUGAUGUAGGGGAGACUGGAAUUCCUGGUGUAGCGGUGAAAUGCGCAGAUAUCGGGAGGAACACCAAUGGCGAAGGCAGCUCGCUGGGACGUGACUGACGCUGAGACGCGAAAGCAUGGGGAGCGAACAGG
rnacentral:rRNA from 1 species